rnacentral:rRNA from 1 species
GGGUUGUGAGGUUAAGCGACUAAGCGUACACGGUGGAUGCCCUGGCAGUCAGAGGCGAUGAAGGGCGUGCUAAUCUGCGAUAAGCGCCGGUAAGGUGAUAUGAACCGUUAUAACCGGCGAUACCCGAAUGGGGAAACCCAGUGUGACUCGUCACACUAUCAUUAACUGAAUCCAUAGGUUAAUGAGGCGAACCGGGGGAACUGAAACAUCUAAGUACCCCGAGGAAAAGAAAUCAACCGAGAUUCCCCCAGUAGCGGCGAGCGAACGGGGAGGAGCCCAGAGCCUGAAUCAGCAUGUGUGUUAGUGGAAGCGUCUGGAAAGGCGCGCGAUACAGGGUGACAGCCCCGUACACAAAAGCGCAUGUGCUGUGAGCUCGAUGAGUAGGGCGGGACACGUGGUAUCCUGUCUGAAUAUGGGGGGACCAUCCUCCAAGGCUAAAUACUCCUGACUGACCGAUAGUGAACCAGUACCGUGAGGGAAAGGCGAAAAGAACCCCGGCGAGGGGAGUGAAAAAGAACCUGAAACCGUGUACGUACAAGCAGUGGGAGCACAGGUUUACCUGUGUGACUGCGUACCUUUUGUAUAAUGGGUCAGCGACUUAUAUUCUGUAGCAAGGUUAACCGAAUAGGGGAGCCGGAGGGAAACCGAGUCUUAAUUGGGCGUUAAGUUGCAGGGUAUAGACCCGAAACCCGGUGAUCUAGCCAUGGGCAGGUUGAAGGUUGGGUAACACUAACUGGAGGACCGAACCGACUAAUGUUGAAAAAUUAGCGGAUGACCUGUGGCUGGGGGUGAAAGGCCAAUCAAACCGGGAGAUAGCUGGUUCUCCCCGAAAGCUAUUUAGGUAGCGCCUCGUGAAUUCAUCUCCGGGGGUAGAGCACUGUUUCGGCUAGGGGGCCAUCCCGGCUUACCAACCCGAUGCAAACUGCGAAUACCGGAGAAUGUUAUCACGGGAGACACACGGCGGGUGCUAACGUCCGUCGUGAAGAGGGAAACAACCCAGACCGCCAGCUAAGGUCCCAAAGUCAUGGUUAAGUGGGAAACGAUGUGGGAAGGCCCAGACAGCCAGGAUGUUGGCUUAGAAGCAGCCAUCAUUUAAAGAAAGCGUAAUAGCUCACUGGUCGAGUCGGCCUGCGCGGAAGAUGUAACGGGGCUAAACCAUGCACCGAAGCUGCGGCAGCGACACUGUGUGUUGUUGGGUAGGGGAGCGUUCUGUAAGCCUGUGAAGGUGGCCUGUGAGGGUUGCUGGAGGUAUCAGAAGUGCGAAUGCUGACAUAAGUAACGAUAAAGCGGGUGAAAAGCCCGCUCGCCGGAAGACCAAGGGUUCCUGUCCAACGUUAAUCGGGGCAGGGUGAGUCGACCCCUAAGGCGAGGCCGAAAGGCGUAGUCGAUGGGAAACAGGUUAAUAUUCCUGUACUUGGUGUUACUGCGAAGGGGGGACGGAGAAGGCUAUGUUGGCCGGGCGACGGUUGUCCCGGUUUAAGCGUGUAGGUGUGUGUUCCAGGU